GGCCCAAUGGUCUAGAGGUAAGAUACUUGCUUUGGGAGGUUCCAACAGGAACACGCAAUUGCAAGGGAUCCCGGGUUCGAAUCCCGGUUGGGCCC
rfam:Ceriporiopsis subvermispora B unplaced genomic scaffold CERSTscaffold_7, whole genome shotgun sequence.